UACGUAGGGUGCAAGCGUUGUCCGGAAUUAUUGGGCGUAAAGAGCUCGUAGGCGGUUUGUCACGUCGGAUGUGAAAACCCGGGGCUUAACCCCGGGCCUGCAUUCGAUACGGGCUGACUAGAGUUCGGCAGGGGAGACUGGAAUUCCUGGUGUAGCGGUGAAAUGCGCAGAUAUCAGGAGGAACACCGGUGGCGAAGGCGGGUCUCUGGGCCGAUACUGACGCUCAGGCACGAAAGCGUGGGGAGCAAACAGG
rnacentral:rRNA from 1 species